GGGCAUAUGGUCUAGUGGUAUGAUUUCUGUUUUGCACGAAAAAUUGGGCUAAUACAGACGGUCCCGCGUUCAAUCCGCGGUAUGUCCA